CGGGUGAGUAACACGUAUCCAACCUGCCGAUGACUCGGGGAUAGCCUUUCGAAAGAAAGAUUAAUACCCGAUGGCAUAGUUCUUCCGCAUGGUAGAACUAUUAAAGGAUUUCGGUCAUCGAUGGGGAUGCGUUCCAUUAGGUUGUUGGCGGGGUAACGGCCCACCAAGCCUUCGAUGGAUAGGGGUUCUGAGAGGAAGGUCCCCCACAUUGGAACUGAGACACGGUCCAAACUCCUACGGGAGGCAGCAGUGAGGAAUAUUGGUCAAUGGACGAGAGUCUGAACCAGCCAAGUAGCGUGAAGGAUGACUGCCCUAUGGGUUGUAAACUUCUUUUAUACGGGAAUAAAGUGAGGCACGUGUGCCUUUUUGUAUGUACCGUAUGAAUAAGGAUCGGCUAACUCCGUGCCAGCAGCCGCGGUAAUACGGAGGAUCCGAGCGUUAUCCGGAUUUAUCGGGUUUAAAGGGAGCGUAGGCGGACGCUUAAGUCAGUUGUGAAAGUUUGCGGCUCAACCGUAAAAUUGCAGUUGAUACUGGGUGUCUUGAGUACAGUAGAGGCAGGCGGAAUUCGUGGUGUAGCGGUGAAAUGCUUAGAUAUCACGAAGAACUCCGAUUGCGAAGGCAGCUUGCUGGACUGUAACUGACGCUGAUGCUCGAAAGUGUGGGUAUCAAACAGGAUUAGAUACCCUGGUAGUCCACACAGUAAACGAUGAAUACUCGCUGUUCGCGAUAUAC
rnacentral:rRNA from 1 species